UACGUAGGGUGCAAGCGUUGUCCGGAAUUAUUGGGCGUAAAGCGCUCGUAGGCGGUCUGUUGCGUCGGCUGUGAAAACCCGGGGCUCAACUCCGGGCCUGCAGCCGAUACGGGCAGACUAGAGUUCGGCAGGGGAGACUGGAAUUCCUGGUGUAGCGGUGAAAUGCGCAGAUAUCAGGAGGAACACCGAUGGCGAAGGCAGGUCUCUGGGCCAUAACUGACGCUGAGAAGCGAAAGCAUGGGGAGCGAACAGG
rnacentral:rRNA from 1 species